UACGUAGGGUGCGAGCGUUAAUCGGAAUUACUGGGCGUAAAGCGUGCGCAGGCGGUUGUGUAAGCCAGAUGUGAAAUCCCCGGGCUUAACCUGGGAAUGGCAUUUGGGACUGCAAGGCUGGAGUGUGGCAGAGGAGACUGGAAUUCCUGGUGUAGCAGUGAAAUGCGUAGAUAUCAGGAGGAAUACCGAUGGCGAAGGCAGGUCUCUGGGCUAACACUGACGCUCAUGCACGAAAGCGUGGGGAGCAAACAGG
rnacentral:rRNA from 1 species